AGGAGUGGCGAACGGGUGAGUAACACGUGGGUAACCUGCCCAUCAGAAGGGGAUAACACUUGGAAACAGGUGCUAAUACCGUAUAACAAUCGAAACCGCAUGGUUUUGAUUUGAAAGGCGCUUUCGGGUGUCGCUGAUGGAUGGACCCGCGGUGCAUUAGCUAGUUGGUGAGGUAACGGCUCACCAAGGCCACGAUGCAUAGCCGACCUGAGAGGGUGAUCGGCCACAUUGGGACUGAGACACGGCCCAAACUCCUACGGGAGGCAGCAGUAGGGAAUCUUCGGCAAUGGACGAAAGUCUGACCGAGCAACGCCGCGUGAGUGAAGAAGGUUUUCGGAUCGUAAAACUCUGUUGUUAGAGAAGAACAAGGAUGAGAGUAACUGUUCAUCCCUUGACGGUAUCUAACCAGAAAGCCACGGCUAACUACGUGCCAGCAGCCGCGGUAAUACGUAGGUGGCAAGCGUUGUCCGGAUUUAUUGGGCGUAAAGCGAGCGCAGGCGGUUUCUUAAGUCUGAUGUGAA
rnacentral:rRNA from 1 species